GACGAACGCUGGCGGCGUGCUUAACACAUGCAAGUCGAACGGAAAGGCCCUGCUUUUGUGGGGUUCCCGAGUGGCGAACGGGUGAGUAACACGUGAGUAACCGGCCCUUGACUUUGGGAGAACUUCAGGAAACUGGGGCUAAUACCGUAUAGGAGCUCCUGCUGCAUGGUGGGGGUGGGAAAGUUUCGGCGGUUGGGGAUGGACUCGCGGCUUAUCAGCUUGUUGGUGGGGUAGUGGCUUACCAAGGCUUUGACGGGUAGCCGACCGGAGAGGGUGACCGGCCACAUUGGGCCUAAGGUACGGCCCAGACUCCAACGGUAGGCAGCAGUGGGGAGUAUUGCACAAUGGGCGCAAGCCUGAUGCAGCGACGCCGCGUGCGGGAUGACGGCCUUCGGGUUGUGAACCGCUUUCGCCUGUGACGAAGCGUUAGUGACGGUAAUGAGUAAAGAAGCACCGGCUAACUACGUG
rnacentral:rRNA from 1 species